rnacentral:rRNA from 1 species
GACGAACGCUGGCGGCGUGCCUACUACAUGCAAGUCGAACGGAGUGGCGAACGGGUGAGUAAUGUAUCGGAACGUGCCCAGUAGCGGGGGAUAACUACGCGAAAGCGUAGCUAAUACCGCAUACUAUUGCAUCGGCCUAUAGCGGAUGAGCCAGUUGGUGGGGUAACGGUUCACCAAGGCGCCGAUCCGUAGCUGGUUUGAGAGGACGACCAGCCACACUGGGACUGAGACACGGCCCAGACGCCUCCGGGAGGCAGCAGGGGGGAAUUUUGGACAAUGGGGGAAACCCGGAUCCAGCCAUCCCGCGUGUGCGAUGAAGGCCUUCGGGUUGUAAAGCACUUUUAGCGGGAAAGCGGUACCUGCAGAAUAAGCACCGGCUAACUACGUGCCAGCAGCCGCGGUAAUAC